rnacentral:tRNA from 1 species
CUGCCGGUGGUGGUGGCGCAGACGUACCGGGUGCUGGCGCCGGCCGAGCAGCGGGCGUUGCGGCUGCUGGCGAUGUUCCGCCACCGGUGGUC